CAUGUAUGUAUCAUCAUGUACAUGUAUGUAUCAUCUGUAUAGCGAACAACAGCCUCUGUCCUUAUACCCUUGAUUCAAGGAAGAAAAAUUUGGCAUCUUGAGAAAAAAAAACCCUUUUAACAGAGGGAGAAAAAGAUGCAAGAAAGCUCAGGAAGAGCCACAGAGGAGGGGUCCCUCUCCCAGGAUGGACAGACAUAUGCUUGAUGUAGCAUUGCAUGUACAGAGCAGGACAAGAAAAUCAUACAUUACAAAUUGCAUAUGCAAUUAUUGUACCUAAUACGCUUAAUAUGCCAUUUAAAGGUUACGCAAUCACACAAAAUCACACUAAUACUGCGUACAAAAUUCAAAAGCUGAGAUGUCAGUUUGGCUACUGGCACCAAACUGUUUUCAUGAAAAAGGAUAUUUUCAACCACAGCUAACAACUUGAAACCAGUGUUUUAGUUGUAGCCUUAGCUGAAGCUCAUAGUGAGUGGCUAUCUUGCCAGCUAGCUUUCACUUGAAAUAACAUUAGCUUGUCUCUAAGGCGGGUUUUACACUGAGUGCUAUGAGGGGUUGUAAAGUGCAGUAACUUCCACCUGAGCAGGAAGACAAAGUCAGAGUUAAAUUCAGCGAUAACACAACCAGGGUGCAGUCAGCUUGGUUUAGAUUGUUUUUUUUAGUUCUGCUUUGUGGUUACUGAGAUUUGCUUUUAGCCAGAGGGCGGAGUACUAAUGAUUGUGUCCUCUUAAUCAUACACAUCUCUUAUUUUGUGUCCAUGCAGUCUCCAGCCAAGAAGAGUUCACCAGGAUCCCUGGCACCAACAUCGACCUUCAAUUCAAAUUUAAUGUCAGUAUCACAAAAAACAAUCAGAUAAUAAUUGUUAAUAAAUAUAUAGACCCAAACGGCCAACAAAAGAUAGAUGAAUAUAACCCCGAAAAGGUCAAAACGAAGCAUCAUUUUAGUUUUGACCCUGAUAAUUAUACCGUAUUUUGGCACCUUACAAAUCUCACACUAAAUCAGAGUGGAGUUUACUGGGCCACAGUUAUCACUGAAGGAACCACAGAGAGCGAUAAGGUGAAGCUGAUCGUUCGAGAGGAGAACACAAGCAGCACAGUUUCUCCAAUGCCGAGUGACAUCCCAACGACUACGGGCAGCCGUAGUAGCUCUCACUUCGUCACUGCCCUUGUGGUUUCACCUGUAGUGCUUCUGGCUGCAGUACUCCCAUGCCUGAUCUGGUGUCUCGUGAGAACCAAAGACAAACAAGAACCACCAUCACUGCCACCAGGACACGGCUCCAACUCCACUGUACAAGAAAUAUUUGAUGAUUCCAAGAAUGUGCCUGCAUCCUCGCUGGUCUACAGCGUCCUGGACUUUCCCAAGAGACCCUCUGCAGUUUUGGAGAUAAAUCCAAGUGAUACAGAGUACGCUGCUGUCAGUUAUAUCACAGAAAAUAGAAGAGUGGGACGAACAGAUGGAUGUAAGGCAACUGGUCUUCCUCGAUUUAAGUAGAAAUAUGCGAGAUGACCUAAUUUAAAAAUGUUUUUCCAGUAAGUGAGAUACUUGCAACCUGCAAUAAUAAGUAAAAGAGUUUGGAGGGGAAGAGUUACUGUCGUGCAUCAGUCGUUAAGUGUGUGGGUGUCUCUUUGUUCUUGGUGGUCUUGAGAUUGAAAUGUUGAGACAGAUGCUGUGGCAAACCGCAAACCAGCAUGAUACAGUUGGAACAUUUUGAUUUGUUUUGGUUUUUGUUUGCUCUCUGUGCGUUUCAGAAUCAUCUGGUCGUUAACCCUUAAAGCUAAAACAUGGUCAGAUUCUGUACUGUUGUUGUUUUAGACAAAAUGCCCAAAAAAAGGACUAAAGCCAACCAACUGAUCUUACUCACAUUUCAAUGUGUAUGUAUCUAUAGUCUGAAGUAUGUUAUUCAUCUGUGCCACAGGCCUCCAUUGUUGUGACCAAAUGAGCCAACACAAUGUUUUACUGUGGGACAUGUUUCUUCAUUAUGAUGUUCAAAUACUAGGCUAAAAGUACUCCCCCAAAAACAGUGUUUUGAAAAGUACCCAAAAAUUAUACUCUAGUAAAAGUAGAUGUCAUUAAAAUAUUGCAUAGGUAAAGGUAACCCUCAUAUGGAUAAUACUUGAGUAAAAGUCUUAAAGCAUCAGACACUAAUUGAAGUACUCAAAUAUCAAAGGGUCUGACAAAUUUUCAGGCAAUAAAAGUUCUUUACUAUCAAAAGUAGAAAUGAAUUAAACAUAUAUUUACAUCUAUACAUAUACUGUACCCUAAAGGUCCCCUGAAUAUCGUCCUGACCCAUUAUCAGAUUUGUUAAGAGGAGGAGUAAAAAGUACAGUAUACAGUAUGCCUCCAAAAUCUAGUGCCAUGAAUGUAUAAAGUAGCAGAAAAUGGAAAAGGGAAAGUGGAGUAAAGCACAAGUAGGCUACAAAGUACAGUACUAGAGUAACAUUACAUCACUGCCCCCCAAAAUGCAAACAAACAAAAAAUCCUAUUUGAGUCACAUUUUCGGAAAACUACAAUGGCAAAAUGUAGAGGUAAAUUUCAAUACAUGUUUCAGUGAGAAAGUGUGGAGAGAUGGAAGAACACAUUGAUGGUUUUGGUCUUUUCAUGGGAUUUGUUGAACAUGACGAAAAAAAAAAAACAGGCCAGCCUUAUCCAGUAAAGUCAAGGUACCUGGAGCUUACAUUGUCUCCAAAUGUAUUAAUAUAUUUUUGAGGGCUUGGAGGUAGAUAUUUAUUCAGAGACCAUUAGUCUUUAAAGCUCUCUGACAUUUAUUUCCAAAGAAGUUAAAUGUCCGUUUUUGCUUUGACUUUCAUCUCCAAACUAAAUUUGGACUUUGAACUUUGCCGUUGUGACGUCAAUGACUUGCUUUUUAAUAUUCUUUAUCUCACCGAGGAGGUGUGAGAUCUCUACAUGUUCCUUUUUAGUUUCAGGUUUAGUAAUUUUAUAUCCUUUCUGUCGGUGUUGUUCAUCUCUGGGUUUUUCAAGCGUUUGACUCAUGGCGUUUCCUUUGUUAAAAUAAACAAAACUUAGAAUCAUUAGUGAAAUGAAACAGUCUCUGGAAAUGGUGACAAUCUAUUUGUAGAUUAGAGAUCUGUCAACAGCUCAACAGUACUGUAUAUUCACAGAACACAGGUGUGAAUUUCCAUUCACUCAAUGGCGACAGUUUGACUCUGUCACACCAGUUUAACACAAACAGCAGCUAUCUGACACUAUCUCACUGCCUGUUUCCUCCUCAGGUUCUCUUCUGGCGGGUGCUUUUCGAUGUUUUGAUAGAUUUGUCCGACAAACUAUUGAUUUAUGUUCUCACUAUUAAUGUGCGUUACUAAUGUGUUGUAUACAGUUAAACUUACAGUAUAUAUUAUGUUCACCAGGGCACAUAAACAGGUUGAUUUUUCAGCCCGGAUGUUGGUUGUUACUCAUGAUGUUAAUCAGCCAAGUUGUAAAUGACGAUAUGUUGUUUUAAAAAUAGUUGUCCACGGCACUCAGCCACACACCGAUGGAAGUUUGUUCUCUGCUCUGAAAACCUUGUUUUUUUUUAAAUAGCAGAAAUUGUUUUUGAACCAAGUUAUCAAGAUUCUUGUCCUGUCAGGUGUUGCUAUUGAACUGUUUCUUGAAAUGCGCACAUUAUUUUAGAAAUGAAUGUCAAAAUACAGCAAUAAACUUUAUUUUUUGUGUUCUUUGUUCAUCAGUGUUGGAUAUAUAA
ensembl:lncRNA